GAACUCCUCCACAGCAUCACCUGGGCUUGGCCUCUUACAGUGUCUCAGCUUCUCUUUAACAUAUCCCUCACCUUUUUUCACCUUCCUGCAGAGUGCUGACACCAUCACAGUAUGUUCCCUUUUCAACCCUGGACACGGUUCAAAAGCAGCUAAAGCAGACAAGAAUCUGGGGCAGCCAAUAUUAUACCACCUGCCAAAACUUGACACAAACAAUCUGGAAGCCAAAAAUUGCACAUACUGUGGAACAGAGCAAGUGGUUCUGGCCUCCGUGGGAUUUGGAUUCUGGUUUCCAGAGCUGAGAACACAAAGGUAAGUUUGCAGCUGGAAGCUUCAGAGAAAGUAGACAGAGCUAUGCAGAUAAGGGAAAAUGUGCUUUAUAGCAUGAACACAGAGUAUUUAAGAGUAAGCUUCACACACACUGAAGAGGAGAAUACCAGAAAAGCUGGG
rnacentral:lncRNA from 1 species